rnacentral:rRNA from 1 species
UACGGGGGGGGCAAGCGUUGUUCGGAAUUACUGGGCGUAAAGGCUCGUAGGCGGCCAACUAAGUCAGACGUGAAAUCCCUCGGCUUAACCGGGGAACUGCGUCUGAUACUGGAUGGCUUGAGUUCGGGAGAGGGAUGCGGAAUUCCAGGUGUAGCGGUGAAAUGCGUAGAUAUCUGGAGGAACACCGGUGGCGAAGGCGGCAUCCUGGACCGACACUGACGCUGAGGAGCGAAAGCCAGGGGAGCAAACGGG